rnacentral:rRNA from 1 species
GACGAACGCUGGCGGCGUGCUUAACACAUGCAAGUCGUACGGUAAGGCCCUUUCGGGGGUACACGAGUGGCGAACGGGUGAGUAACACGUGAGUAACCUGCCCACAACUUUGGGAUAACGCUAGGAAACUGGUGCUAAUACUGGAUAUGUGCUCCUGCUGCAUGGUGGGGGUUGGAAAGCUCCGGCGGUUGUGGAUGGACUCGCGGCCUAUCAGCUUGUUGGUGGGGUAGUGGCCUACCAAGGCGGCGACGGGUAGCCGGCCUGAGAGGGUGACCGGCCACAUUGGGACUGAGAUACGGCCCAGACUCCUACGGGAGGCAGCAGUGGGGAAUAUUGCACAAUGGGCGCAAGCAUGAUGCAGCAACGCCGCGUGCGGGAUGACGGCCUUCGGGUUGUAAACCGCUUUCAGCAGGGACGAAGCUUUUUGUGACGGUACCUGCAGAAGAAGCACCGGCUAACUACGUG